UGGGGAAUUUUGGACAAUGGGCGAAAGCCUGAUCCAGCCAUGCCGCGUGCAGGAUGAAGGCCUUCGGGUUGUAAACUGCUUUUGUACGGAACGAAAAGACUCCUUCUAAUAAAGGGGGUCCAUGACGGUACCGUAAGAAUAAGCACCGGCUAACUACGUGCCAGCAGCCGCGGUAAUACGUAGGGUACAAGCGUUAAUCGGAAUUACUGGGCGUAAAGCGUGCGCAGGCGGUUAUAUAAGACAGAUGUGAAAUCCCCGGGCUCAACCUGGGAACUGCAUUUGUGACUGUAUAGCUAGAGUACGGUAGAGGGGGAUGGAAUUCCGCGUGUAGCAGUGAAAUGCGUAGAUAUGCGGAGGAACACCGAUGGCGAAGGCAAUCCCCUGGACCUGUACUGACGCUCAUGCACGAAAGCGUGGGGAGCAAACAGGAUUAGAUACCCACGUAGUCCCUGAGCGGGCUGGCAAGGCGCAU
rnacentral:rRNA from 1 species